rnacentral:rRNA from 1 species
UACGUAGGGGGCAAGCGUUGUCCGGAUUUAUUGGGCGUAAAGAGCGUGUAGGCGGCCGCACAGGUCCGUUGUGAAAACUGGAGGCUUAACCUCCAGACGUCGAUGGAAACCGUGCGGCUAGAGUCCGGAAGAGGAGAAUGGAAUUCCUGGUGUAGCGGUGGAAUGCGCAGAUAUCAGGAAGAACACCCGUGGCUAAGGCGGUCCUCUAGUACGGUACUGACGCUGAGACGCGAAAGCGUGGGGAGCGAACAGG